rnacentral:rRNA from 1 species
UACGUAGGUGGCAAGCGUUGUCCGGAUUUACUGGGCGUAAAGAGCGCGCAGGCGGCCAAGUCAGUCGAAUGUGAAAGCCCCCGGCUUAACUGGGGAGGGUCAUUCGAUACUGCUCGACUCGAAGGCAGGAGAGGGAAGCGGAAUUCCCGGUGUAGUGGUGAAAUGCGUAGAUAUCAGGAGGAACACCAGUGGCGAAGGCGGCUUCCUGGCCUGUUCUUGACGCUGAGGCGCGAAAGCUAGGGGAGCAAACGGG